rnacentral:rRNA from 1 species
CGAACGCUGGCGGCGUGGAUAAGACAUGCAAGUCGAGCGCUCAUCUGUUUGCAGCAAUGUAAGCAGGUGGGAGCGGCGCAAGGGUGCGUAACGCGUGGGUAAUUUGCCGUGAAGUUGGGAAUAACUCGCUGAAAGGCGAGCUAAUGCCGAAUGUGGUUGCCUGGGGGCAUCUCCGGGUUACUAAAGUUGGGGACCGAAAGGCCUGACGCUUCACGAUAAGCCCGCGCCCUAUCAGCUAGUUGGUGAGGUAACGGCCCACCAAGGCUAAGACGGGUAGCUGGUCUGAGAGGACGACCAGCCACACUGGAACUGAGACACGGUCCAGACACCUACGGGUGGCAGCAGUCGAGAAUUUUUCACAAUGGGCGCAAGCCUGAUGGAGCGACGCCGCGUGGGGGAUGAAGGGCUUCGGCCCGUAAACCCCUGUCAUUUGCGAACAAUGCUCUGGUGUGAACAGCGCCAGAGUUGAUGGUAGCGAAAGAGGAAGGGACGGCUAACUCUGUGCCAGCAGCCGCGGUAAUACAGAGGUCCCAAGCGUUGUUCGGAUUCACUGGGCGUAAAGGGUGCGUAGGUGGUGAGGUAAGUCGGAUGUGAAAGCUCGGAGCUCAACUCCGAAAUGGCAUUGGAAACUACCUUGCUAGAGGAUUGGAGGGGGGACUGGAAUUCUCGGUGUAGCAGUGAAAUGCGUAGAUAUCGAGAGGAACACCAGUGGCGAAGGCGAGUCCCUGGACAAUUCCUGACGCUGAGGCACGAAAGCUAGGGGAGCAAACAGGAUUAGAUACCCUGGUAGUCCUAGCCGUAAACGGUGUGCACUUGCUGUAGGCGGAAUCGACCCCGUCUGUGGCGAAGCAAACGCGUUAAGUGCACCGCCUGG